GCAAGCCGCUGGAUCCCUGGCUCAAGGACAUGCCCGCCGUGGCAUAAUGGAGACCCACCUGAUAUUGGAGUUUGUCGCCAGCCAAGAUCCUAUAUUUUUAAAAGCUGCCUUUUUUAUCCCUCCUUGUUCACCUUUUGAUGGUUUCGAAUGUUCUCCUGCUUCCCCAGAGUAGUCAGGGUAAUUGGUCCACACGGUGAAGUCAGCGGAUUCACUCUUUUAUUCUACAUCGUAUUCAAUUAUAUUAGCCAUCUGUCUGUUACUGCUUUUCGGGUAUAUUUUGAUUACAUUUUUGUCAGUUCAAUAUGUUUAUGAUUGGUUAGCAACUCUGAGAAAUAAACUCUCUUGGUGUUCUAGAACCCUUAACUACCUUGUUUUCUAUUUGUCUUCAUUUAACUGGCCAACUGCUGUUGGGUCGACUCUAUUCAGGAUGAUGACUGUUGAGUAAGCGAGGAAUCGUCUUCUUACGCCAGUUCGUAUGUUAAAUUGCGCUAACAUUUUUCAAUGAACUUGCAUGUAAACCAAACAUCAGUAAUGCAGUGCCGACAAUCACGGACUUAUUAAGAAUUCACCAUCAGAAUGAUUCGGGGAAGCGAGUUCUCUUAUUGAUCCUUCCAUUUAAUCUCGCUAGCACCCACGACCUCGUUACUAGGGUUGGUUAGUUUUCCCAUUUGGGACGACUUGUGACUCCUAGAUUUGAUUUGAUUUAUCCUACAUUUUGCGGAUUCAAUUUUUAUUAACACAAAGCGUUGGGACUUUUUACAAUAUUUGCAGGUUGACAUAUAAAAUGUUCAAAUUUUUACAAUCUUUUGUAAUUGGAAAUAAUUCUUUUACAUUUUCGAAUUUUGAAGGAAAAGUCAUGAGUAGAAAUUAGAAAGAAAAAAAAAUUGCCCCAAAAAAGAAGGAGGGGUCGUAAGUUUCAAUUUCACUAAACUCUGAAAAAAUAAUCCAUGAGGUCGUAUUCUAUGCACCAUUCAUUAAAGGAGUAAAUAAUGAUGUGAAAUUUGACUUGUCACCUAAAACUCUAUCAAGCGAUAUUUCUGAAAUGACUUCAAAAGUAUCGUAACGUGAUUGAAAAAAUUACAAUUUAAUAAGAACCAUACUUGCGUAAUUGUUACGAUCAAUUUUUAAUACAUUCAUAUGUUAAAUAGAUCUAUGUGAAGAUUGAGUCUUUUCUUCCUCCUCUUUCAGGUGAGUGACGUGAACAAAUUUCUCAGUAUUUGGAGAAACUCUUGUUCGAAACUUAUCGAUGGUUUAAAGACAAUCAAAGCCAUCGAUUACGUGAAUUUGUAUGUGAUGCCAUACAAUUAAUGGUUAAGAGAGACACAAUCCAUGUAGACUCAACCCAUGCAACAAUUUAUCUAGUCCUUAGGGUGCUUUGCGAUUGCCAUGACCUAACUGAAAGUUAAUCAUAAUUGAAUGGCGCAACUGCUAUAUUACAUAUCCUAAUUUUGUUAUUUAUAGAUUUUUUUUCCUACUUGGAAAAGAAGUUGUAUAAUUUGUCUAGCCUUAUUUAUCUUAGUUGCAUCUCUAAUAUUUCACACUAUUGUACUUGGUAUCUUACUUGGUAAAUUGCUUGAUUUAGUGCUUAAUGGCUUAAUAUUGACUGGACUCAUCGCAUUAUUACAUUGCCAUCUUGGAUUGUAUGCGUACUCAUUCUGAUUACCUAAAAGAGAAUAGAGUCUCAAAAUAGCAAAUCCUCUAGAUAAUUUACCAUUUUCUCAAAAGAACUUUCCGUUUCAACACACCGAUAGAUUUUUGUCAUUUUUAAAGCAUCAGUUCUCUCGUAUUAUGUAUAAUUUGGGUAUUGUAAAUGAAACCAGUUUACCAUUAAGCAAGGAUAACCAGUGCUCCAGAGAUACUUCUUUCUAAAACUUAGUUUUCUCCCUAGCCUAACCAUUGUGUUUGCGCAGGUGCCUUUUCCAGAUCCCAUGGAGAAGUUGCUCUUUACUUAAUUUAUGGCACUAGAGGAGCAUAUUUGUUGGUACUUUGCUUUUUUAAAAGGCUAAAUUCUGAUAAAAUUUUGUGAUCCUUGAAAUUAUUUAGGUGAUCUUCUCUCACUAAAUCCCAAAUAUUAGGGAGAACCCGGAAAAACAAAAGAAAAUGAUAUUUAAUUUUGUUGGGUUCUAUGCAUUGACUAUUCCACCUGCCAAACGUGACAUUACCCGUUUGAGAGAGCGAGCAACAACAAAGGAAUGCCAGCCAACACAUCAAUCAUCAUAUACAAACCCAAUCACGCUCACUCGUAUUUGCACAUUUCAGAACCCCAGAGAGAGAAGUCCAAAACCCCCGCUCCUUCUUCGGAGGCCUUUAUGAUUCCUCUGCUUCCUCCGUAGCCUUCUCUCUCCCGCGCGCUCGCCCGCUUUCUGGUGAGAAAGAGUCUCGACCUUUCGAAGUCUCGACAAGCUGUUUGCAUUUUCUCUCUUCGAUUUCCCCGUGUUUCUUUUGCUGCUUUCGUGAUUAGAUGGCGACCAGAGAGAAUUUGGAUAGUAUAUCCGUGCAAGCUCCGCGACAGGAUCUUCUCUAGCGAACCAAUGUUGGGAGGUCAUAUGAGGUGCCGCAUGAUACUGCAUGAGACAAAACAGAUGUUGUCGAAGAAUUUUGACAUGAAGAACAUUGGUGAGGCAUCAUUCGUCCUUGGCAUUAAAAUUCAUAGACAUCGUUCCUGUUGUAUGUUAUGUUUAUCUUAGAAGGCAUAUGUUGAUUGUAUUUUGGAAAAAUUCAACAUGCAGCAUUGCAAACUAGGCAUUGUUCCUAUUUUUAAGGGUGACAAAUUAAGUCUCUCACAAUAUCCUCAAUCAAAUUUUGAGAAAAACCAAAUGAAUGAUAUACCUUAUGCUAGUGCACUUGGAAGUAUCAUGUAUGCUCAAGUUUGCACUAGACCAGAUAUUGCCCUUAUGACCGGACUUCUAGGUAAAUAUCAGUCAAAUCCAGGACACAAUCACUAGGUUAUUACCAAAAAGAUUUUGAGAUACUUAAAAGGAACAAGAGACCGUAUGGUGAUUUACUAAUACCAUGAUUUGUGACUAGUAGCAUAUUCGGAUGCAGACUUUGCUAGUUGUUAGGAUGAUAGAAAGUCGACAAUAGGAUAUAUCUUCAUGUUAGUAGGAGGUGCAAUAUUGUGGAAAAGCAAGAAACAGAAAUCUAUAUUAUCCUCUACCAUGCAAGCGAAGUUUAUAACAUGCUUUUCAAUUACUACUCAAGCUGUUUGGCUCCGAAACCUUAUUAGAGAAGUAAUGGUAUUUGAUUUUAUGGAUAGACCCAUACAAUCAUAUUGUGAUAAUAACCGUGUAGUGUUAUUUGUCAAUGACAACAGAAGUCUCAAGGGUCUAAACAUAUGCAGAUCAAGUUUUUUACCAUAAAGGAAAUGAUACAGAAUUGUGACAUUACGGUAAAGCAUAUUCCCACGGACAAUAUGUUAGCAGAUCCACUAAGGAAAGGCUUUCCCUUGUGUAUUGAAGCGACAUGUCAUGAACAUGGGCUUGGGAGAAUCAUUGGAUACUGUCAUUUAGUGGAAGCUACUUCAGAUUUGCUCUAAUAAAGUUUACAUCUAUGUUUCGUUAUAUUUGGUAAUAUUUUGAUAUAUGUCAACUCUUUCGGUUAGGAUUAUUAUUGAGUCAUAUACAUACAUCUAAUGAAAAUUUCAAACUAUUGUGUAAACCUUAAAUGAAAGCUAGAGACAUCUAGUUAUUAGCCUUAUACAUAUGUAUAAUUACACAUAAAGAAAGGUUAACCAUAAAUAUAAAAUAUAUGUGGGUUCAUUAGAACCGUAAAGAUAUUCUCUAGUGGCACAUCCGGUUUUUUGUAAUACCUAAGGUAAAAGAAUAGUGACCGACAAAGAUGAUAACAUAUAAGAUAUUAUUCUUCAUAAGGUGUUAUUUAUUUGUUACAUAACCAUAUGAAUCCAUAUCAGUAAAAUUGAAAGCAUUUGUGAUCAUGGAAGGCUCUAUGUAUAUAUAAGCAAUUACCUCCAUGAUCCAGUGUUUGAUACUUUAUGGGAUCAGAUUGAUUAUUGAGAAUUAUCUUUAAACCAACAUAAAAGUGUGCACAUAUAGUGUAAUCUCAAUUAAUAUAGCAAAAGUGGGAGAAUGUAAUAAUUUUCCUAAUGUAGUCUACAUUGAUUAAGAUUGUGAUUUACCAUUUUUACGAAGUUAGUCUAAUAAAGUAAUAUAUAAAGUUUCUUAGUAGUCGAAUAUGGGUCUGGCUUAUGUAGGAUGAGUUGGGCUCGCUCAAGAUGAGAAGGCCCAGCCAAAACUCUAUAAAUAGGCUAAGGUCCCUCCUUUAACCCUCACUUUUUGCUAUUUUGAAAUGUAUGCGCCCACUACCUCACAUAAGGGACGUUUGUGAGAGGCGGUCUCAUCGAGUUAGGGUAUGGAGAGUGAUAGAGGAGAAGAUCUUUAGCAUUGAAAUGUCAUAUUACUGUUGUUCUGCUCCUAGAAUCAUGAAUUCCAAAUCAGGUGCGCAAAUCUUCAUCUUCUCCUUCAAUAUGUUUGAGUUCCUAGCUAUGUUGAUCUUGAGAAGUCGUUUCGAUGGCCAACACUUUGAUCAUGAACCAAGGUGAGGCAGACUUCAAUUCUCUGGGUUUGGGUGUCAAACCUUUCUCGAAGACCUGGCCUAGAUUUCUUUAACGUGGGGAAAGGGUUGAUAAUUGAAGCAUUUGAGUGGAAUGAAAGCCUUUCAAGUGGCUAUUUGAAAAUGGGGCAGAAAGGGGUCGAAUUGGAGGUUCCCGCUGACAUGCUUUAUGGGGCUAGGGAAGUCGGGCUCAAGAAGCCUCAGGUAGCUAGAUCAGGUGAUGAGCCGAUGGAUGAGGUAGCAAUGAUGGAUCGUGGCACGAUGGCAACUGCAGGAAUUGCAUGUCUUGAUUUGAGAGAAAGGCUAGAAAUAUGGAUUGAAUUUGGGGCUAAAUUCUUAUAGGGAUGAGGUCUACGCUGAGGAAUCCCGAGUUUUCGGUGAACCGGUUGAGGAAAACAAGUAUAAAAGCAGGGACACUGACAGCUACAAACGGGAGGCUCCAGUCAAUGCAUCUCAAGCGAUUUAAGGGAGUCCUCGAGAGCAUGAAAGGACAACUCAGAGAAGGUGAACAAGCAGUAUGCUUGAUAAGCUGCUUAAGAUCAGAUAUGUUGGCAGAUCCACUGAGAAAAGGCUUUCACCCUUGUGUAUUGAAGCGACAUGUCAUGAACAUGGGCUUGGGAGAAUCAUUGGAUAGUGUCAUUUAGUGGGAGCUACUUCAAAUUCACUCUAAUAAAGUUUACAUCUAUGUUUUGUUACAUUUGGUACCAUUUUGAUAUAUGGCAACUAUUUUGGUAUGGAUUAUUAUUAAGUUGUAUACAUAUAUCAAAUGAAAAUGUCAGAAUAUUGUGUAAACCUUGAGUGAAGGCUAGAGGCAUCUAGUUAUUAGUAUUGUACAUAUGCCUAAUUACACAUAAAGAAAUGCUAAUCAUAAAUAUAAAAUAUAUGUGGGUUCAUUAGAACUAUGAAGAUAUUCUCUAGUGACACAUCUAGUUUUCUAUGAUAAUAAGAGAAUAAUGACAGACAAAGAGGAUAACAUAUAAGAUAUUAUUUUUCAUGAGGUGUUAUCUAUUUGCCACACAACCAUAUGAAUCCAUAUCAGUAAAGUUGAAUGCACUUGUGAUCAUGGAAAGUUCUGUGUAUGUAUAUGCAUUUACCUCCAUGAUCUAGACUAACAUAAACGUGUGCACAUACAAUGCAAUCUCAAUUAAUAUAGCCAAAGUGAGAGAAUGUAAGAGUUUUCCUAAUGUGGAUUAUAUUAAUUAAGAUUGUAAUUUACCCUUUUUAUGAAAUUAGUCUAAUAAAUUAUUAUAUAAAGCUUCCUAGCGGUCAAAUAUGGGUCUAGCUUAUAUAGGCUGAGUUAGGCUAACUUAAGAUGAGAAGGCUCGGCCACAACUCUAUAAAUAGGCUAAUAUCUCUCUUUUAACCCUCACUUUUUGCCAUUUUGAAACAUAUGCACCCACUACCUCACAUAAGGAAUGUUUGUGAGAGGCACUCUCAUUGAGCUAAGGUAUGGAGGGUGAUAGAGGAGAAGAUCUUCAACAUCGAAGUAUUAGAUUGCCGUUGUUUUGCUCCUAGAAUCAUGGAUUCCAAAUCAGGUAUGCAAAUCCUCAUCUUCUCCUUUUAUAUGUUCGAGUUCCUAGUUAUGUCAAUCUUGAGAAGUCGUUUUGACGGCCAACAUUUUGAUCAUGAACCAAGGUGAGGCGGACUUCAAUUCCCCAGGUUUAAGUGUCAAACAUUUCACGAAGAGCUGGCCUGGAUUUCUUUGACGUGGGAAAUGGCUAUUAAUUGAAGCAUCUGAGUGGAAUGAAAGCCAUUCAAGUGGCUAUUUGAGAAAGGGGGGAAAUGGGUCGAAUUGGAAGUUCUUGUUGGAAUGUUUUGCAGGGCUAGGGAAGUCGGGCUCAAGAAGCCUCAAACAGCUAGAUCAAGUGAUGAGCUUAUGGAUGAGGCGGCAAUGAUGGAUCGUGGCACGAUGGGAACUGUAGGAACUGCAAGUCCUAAUUUAAGAGGAAGGCCAAAAAUAUGGAUCGAACUAGGGUUAAAUUUGUACAGAGAUGAGGUCUGCGUUUAGGAAUCCUAAGUUUUCGGUGAACCAGUUGAGGAAAACAAGUAUAAAAGCAGGGAUGCCAAGAGCUACAAACAAGAGGCUCCAAUCAAUGCUUCUCAAGGAAUUGAAGGGAGUUGUGGCUGCACCGACCUCGAGAGCAUCAAAGGAUGACUCAGAGAAGGUGAACAAGUAGUAUGCUCGAUAAGUUGCAUAAGAUCAAAUAACGAAAAUGCAGCCAAUAUCAGCAUUCGACGCCGGCCAAGGAUUAUAUAUUUCUAAAGCAACCGCUUUUAUCCCUCCGUGUUCGCUCUUUUGAUGGUUCCGAGUGUUCUCCUAAUCCCCAUAGUAGUUAGGAGAAUUGGUCUACAUGGUAAAGUCAACUGAUUCAUUCUGGCUCUGUUUGUUUUGUGAAGAAUAAAUGAUUUAAAAAAUAUUUUCCUAAAAAUGAUAGUUUGUAUCACUUGAAGUAACCGAUCAAUUUAAAAUAUUUUCAUCAUCAACCACAAUAUAUGACUAAAUAUCUUCGUAGACGAUGAAAAUGUUUUUCGUUCAUCUAUUUUUGUGAGGAUCUCCCCAUUGGGUAUAGGAUGCCUCACAGGGCAUUGAGAUGACUGUGCAAGAUCCUCAUAGGAGUCUUGAGAUGACUGUGCAAGAUUGUGUCUGUGUCUGCCAUUUCCUGCUCUUAUGAUGGAGGUAUCCUUACUUUGUCAUAUACUUGUUUGAAUUCAUUGAUUGCUUAUUUAGUUUUUGGUGCAAGGCUAUAAUGAUUCCAUGGAACAGGUAUGAAGUCAUUCUUAAAAAAACAUUUUUCAGAUCAUUCAUUUUCCACUGAAGAAAUGCACCCUAUUUAUACACUAUAUUCAAUAAUAUCACCAUCUAUCUAUUGCUACUUUUGGGUAUAUUUUCAUUAUGUUUUUUGUCAGGUCAAUAUGUUUAUGAUUGAUUACAACUCUGAGAAAUAGACUCUGUUGGUGUUCUAGAACAGUUAUCUUCCUCGUUUUUAUGUUUGCAUUUUAUAAGUGGCGAACUAUUGUUGGGUUGAGUCAAAAGGUCGAAUUGGUUUUCUCGCGGUACUGUUCACCGUCUCUCCUAAGAGGGGCGAUUUUGCUAUUGUUCAUCGUCUCUGGUUCUCGCUCGGCCUGGGCAUUCCAGCCUUCGUUUUGCUCCGAUUUUAGAGGGUUUUCUUCCUCUUGAGACACCCCUUCUUCCCACCGAACGAAUUGGCAAGUUUCUCGCCCUAAGUGGACACCGCAUCUGCCUUCUUGCACUGUUCCGCCCAUCACGACACUGUAGUUGCGAGUCUGCUCGAGCUGCUGCGGGAGCUGUUCCUGGGCUUCGAGGUGGGUGCAAAGGACCGAUCAGGUUCCUUCCUCUUCACUUCUCAGCCCUAGUAUGGAGUUCCUCCCCUUGGUUGCAGUAUAAAGGGCUUCGCUGAUUGAGGGCUGUUGGUCUUGAUGGUGUAUGUCCCCACUGAGACACAUCAAGGCUCUAGCAAGGGGAAGGGUCCGAACUCCCCUCGGCAAGCUGGAAGCUUGGCCUAGAAUCCCCGACCCGUAGGGAGAAGCUCAGCGAUGGGCAGUAACGCCGAACAUCGGCCAUCCUUUAGGCCUCCUCGGAAUGACAGGUCUAGGGGUCGAAGUCGUUCGCGGGCUCCGAACAAGAGGGUCCCUAGUAAGCCACCCAACUCAGCCAAGCCUCCCCUAGCCCAGUUGUGGGCUAAUGUGGCACGGUUGGCUGCGAAAGGCUAUGAGCUCCCCUAUGUGCCACCUGACUUUGUUGGGGGGGGGGGGGGGGGGGGAAACCGAUUAUCAAUCUCACUAGGGAGGUGCUGCAAGUAGCAGAUCCCAAAUGGAAUGAGUUCCUAGUUGGGUAUCUUGUGGGGAAAAAACUCCAAUUUCAACUUGUUGAACAAGCAUUGAAGAAUAACUGGGGAUCUAAGCUAGUGGAUGUACUAGCCGAAGAUCAAGGUUUAUUUUAUUUCCAUGUCCCGGAUUUGGUGUUCCGAAGGAAGAUCUUGGAGGAGGGACCCCUCACUGUUGCUCAGGUUCCUCUCAUUUUUCAGCAAUGGAAGCCUCUCAUGGAAUUGAAGAAAGAAAAGCAAUCUUCCAUUCCUGUGUGGAUUGGAAUCAAGAACCUUCCACUUGAUCUUUGGUCUGUACCAGUGAUUGGAGCCAUUGCUAGCUUCAUGGGUAAGCCCCUCUUUGUGGACCAACGUACCAUGGGCGAGAGGAUGAUCUCGUUUGCCCCGAGUUUGUGUUGAGAUCCAAGCUAACCAACCUAGGGUCUCCUCGGUUGAUGUCAAUGUGGAUGGAGUGUCGAGGUCCAUUGCAAUUGAAUUUGAAUGGUGGCCGGUUGGUCACAAUUGUCACACUGCCCAGAACCCUUCUCGGCCUCCUUUGGCACCGGUGAAGCACCGGUGAAGUCCCGUGCGGCCCUUGCUAUUUUGAACCCUUCUCUGCCUCUCGUCCCUGAUCCAGCAGCACCUAAUGAGGUGGAACAAGGAUGGAAGAAAGUGGAAGGUAAGAAGAAUAAGCCCACCCCUCAGGCGGAUGAUAUUGCAACCAGCCAUGCUGAUUCAAGUGAUGUAGGGAGGCUAUCCAAGCUCAAGACCGUGGCAAUGGAGAAGAGACUCCCUGGUGUCUACUCUCGCAAAGGCCCUAGCGAUUCUCUGACCAUUUUAGAAUCAGCUGAGAAAGCCCCUUCUCUCAUGGUUGGGACUGCCACCCCUUCGGAGCCAUCCGAACCGAAGCUGCCCAUUUCGAGCGAGGUGGCUAGGGUCUCGAACAACCUAUUUUCCCCUUUCAUAUGACGAUCUUCUCUCCCCUUGCUCUUCACCGAAGGCGUCUACUGGGAUCAGGAGGCCCAUUCAAGACCCAGAUCCUUCCCCUUCUACUUUGCAGGAUGGAGUGCUCGCCUUAGCACCAGGCCCUCCCCCUUUGACUGCCCAGCCUGCUCAGCCUUCCACUAGGCGUAGCUCCUCCAAAAUGAGGUAACUUAUCUCCUAUUCUCUUGUAAAUAUAUAUAUAUAUAUAUAUAUAUAUGUUAUUGGAAUAUUAGGGGGCUUGGUGCCCCUCUUAAGCAAGCAGAGGUUAAGAAUUUUGUCUUGGCUAACCAGUUGUCUUUGGUCGGGAUAGUUGAGACAAAAGUUCCCCUCAAUCUCUUUAAUGCCAUUUCUCGGAGUUUGUUGCCAAACUGGUGUUGGCAGGCCAAUUAUGAGUACUCUAAUCGAGGUAUGAUCUGAGUUGGUUAGGAUCCUGCUACGGUUUCCUUUGAAAUUAUGUCUGUGUUGGAUCAAGCGAUUCAUGGGAAUAUGAGAAGGUUAGAUAUUGGAGUGGCUUGUUAUGUCUCUAUUAUUUAUGCUGAGCAUUCCUUUACUACACUGCAUCCUCUUUGGGAGAAUUUGGUGGCUAGAAGUUCUUCUCUUCAGGACUUGUCUUGGCUGGUCAUGAGAGACUUCAAUGCUAUUAAAGACCCCUCUGACAGGCUAGGUGGUUCAGAUCUCUGGUUGUCAUGCUUUGAUGACUUCGGACAUUGUAUUGAUAAAGCAGAGUUGAAAGACCUCAGAUAUGUGGGAUUUUGGUACACUUGGUCAACUUCUUCAAACCCCUCGCGCAAGGCAAGGAAGAUUGACAGAAUCCUGGUUAACACUGGCUGGAGCCAGGUUUUUUCCUACUCGGAGGCUACCUUCCUUGUGCUUGGGAUUUCUAACCACUCACCUAUGGUGGUUAAGGUUAAAGACUCGAUCUUUCGGAGGAAACCGUUCAAAUUCUUUGAUUUUUGGAUGCAUCACCUGGACUUUGAAUUAAUUGUGAAGCAAGUUUGGGAGGCUCCAUCUCCAGGUGUGCCUAUGUUUAGGCUUGUUUCUAAGUUAAAGGCCUUGAAAGGGCGGCUCAAGCAGCUGAAUAGAGACUCCUUUGCCAAUAUCUCCGUAAGGACUUCUGAAGCGAGGGAAGCCUUAAAGCUGACUCCAGUGGAUCUCCUUUAAGAUCCUACUAGUGAGAUGCUCGCAGAACGGGAGAAGCUUCAACGCUGAUCCUUCGUAGAGCUUCGAUCCCAGGAGGAAUCGUUUUUUAGACAGAAAUCUAGGAUCAGAUGGAUCGAGGAGGGUGAUCGCAAUACAAAAUUCUUUCACCAAUGCGUCAGUAAAAGACAGUUGAGAAAUAGAAUUCUCUCUGUGGCGAAUUCCUUAGGUAGCCAAAUCACUAAGCUUCAGCUAGUUUAGCAGCAUUUUGUGGAUUAUUUUCAUGAUCUCCUUUUGCCAAGGCUAGAGCAAGAUACUCCGUCGGUUUCAGAGAUUAUGGGGGUUAUUCACACCCAUUUAAAUGUUGACCAUAUUGCCUUUCUUGAGCAGCUCAUUUUGGAUCUUGAGAUUUGGGAUACUCUCUUCUCCCUUCCUCGGGGGAAGGUGCCUGGGCCGAAUGGAUUCAUGGUUGAGUUCUUCAAGGAGAAUUGGGAAACGAUGGGUCCUCUGGUCACCGAAGCCGUCAGGGACUUCUUCAUCUUGAGGAGGAUCCUUAAGGAAAUCAAUAACACCACCUUGGUUUUGGUUCCUAAGGUUCCCAAUGCAACUACUGUCAAUGACUUCAGGCCCAUUACUUGUUGUAACACGGUAUACAAGAUUAUUACCAAAGUGUUGGCGAAUAGGGUCGCCGCCGUGCUUAAGGACCCUGUUAGCCCUACUCAAAGUGCCUUCGUCAAAGGACGAAGAAUCAGGGACAAUAUCCUCUUGGCGCAGGAGCUUUUCUCUGGGUUUCACCUUGAACCCUAUACUCCAAAGUGCACUAUUAAAGUUGACUAUAGGAAGGCAUAUGACACCGUUGACUGGCGGUUCCAUGAGAGUGUUCUGCUUGCCUUUCGAUUCCCUGACCGGCUCAUUCACUUCAUCAUGACCUGUGUGAGGACGCCUCAAUUCUCCAUUGCGUUGAAUAGGGAGCUGCAUGGCUUCUUUCCUAGUGGGCAUGGUUUGCGGUAGGGAGACCCCAUCUCUUCCUACUUAUUCACGCUAGUUGUGGAGGUGCUCUUUAAGAUUCUUGGGAGGUGCUCAACGCAACCGGAUUUUAGAUUCUUCUAGAGGUAUAGGCCCACUAGCCUCUUGCACCUGUUCUUCGCAGAUGACGUCUUCCUACUUUGUGAGGGUCACUUGCCUUCUAUGAAGCUUCUUAGGGAGGGUCUCCAACUGUUUUCUUCCUGGAGUGGCCUUCUUCCUAACCCAAGGAAAAGCGAGGUGUUCCUCUCACGGGGCUCGACGGCCUUGAGGAAUCAAAUUCUUCUGGACCUUAGCUUCGUUGAGGGCAACCUCCCACUCCGUUAUUUGGGUGUUCCUAUCAUCUUGUCGAGGCUUGGGAAAGCCGAUUGUGCGGAUCUUGUGAGGCGCAUCACCUCUAGGGUCCAGUCUUGGACUCAUCGAUUCUUUUCCUUUGCUCGACUACUUCAGUUGAUCAGGUCAAUCCUCUAUGCCAUUCAGGCCUAUUGGGCAAGUGUCUUCAUUAUUCCUACAGCAGUGCUAGAUCAGAUUGAGCGUAUUAUCAGAUAAUUUUUGUGGAAAGGACCUGAGUUAAGCAGAGGGGGUGCCAAGGUCUCGUGGGAGGACGUCUGCCUUCCUAAAUUAGAGGGAGGUCUUGGUAUCCGGAGAUUGCAUGAGUACAAUAAGGCAGCUAUGCUCAAGUGCAUCUAGAAUCUUUUUUCAGAUAAUGAGUCGUUAUGGUGUAAGUGGGUCCAUUCAACCUUCUUAAAAAAUAGGAACUUCUGGGUUGUGAAGAAGCCAUCCUAUUGCUCUUGGGCCUGGAAAAAAAUACUACAACUCAGAUCAGAUUUCCGACUUCGCUUCUAUUGGAGGAUAGGCAAUGGUUUAUCGGCGUCGCUCUGGUUCGAUAAUUGGCACCCUCGGAGCCCUCUGAAUCUAUUUUUCACAAAUUCGUUCAUCUACAGCUCAGGUCUCUCUAGAUAGGUAUCAGUGGCUGAUCUCUUCUCUGAGGAUGGUUGGGCUAUUAGAUCAGAGAUUGAGUCUUGGGGAUCGCUGCUUCCUUCCUUAUCUAGAGUCUAAAAUUGUUUCGGUUGGAGGGAGAACUCCACAGGUGUGUUCUCGGUUGCCUCGGCUUGGGAGAUCAUAAGGUGGAAGAAGGAGAGAGUUAGAUGGCAUCGAUUCAUCUGAAGCAAUGCUAUCCUGCCUUGACACCAACUCAACCUUUGGCUCAUCACCAAGCGAAGGUUGCCUACACAGUCUCUUCUCAUGUCUCAUGGUAGGAUUGACGCUGCUUCCUACCCUUUUUGUAACAAGGUACCUGAUUCUAUCAAUCACCUCUUUUUUGGGUGUCGCAUUACUUCGAGUAUUGCUUUCUUUUGGGCUGCCAGGUGCAAUCUUCCCUAGACCAAUAGGACUUGGGAGGAGACUCUUAGUUGGGCUAUCUCUCUACCCUCGGGGAAGGAGUUCUACAAAAGUAUUGCCCGUUUUUCCUUUGGUGCACUCUGUCACAUCAUUUGGAAGAACAUGAACAAUAUUAUCUUUAGGGGGGAGCCGCUUUCUCUUUCGGCCAUGAAGAGGCAUCUCCUCAAGGUCAUUAAAGAUAAGGGUGCUACCUUCAAAGACGUAGAGAACUCCUACAGAUCAUGAGGAUUCAACGCUCGUGGGAGUUGGACCCCUGUAUCUUCUCUUCCGCUGAUUGUGGAACGAUGGGCUAGGUGUCUUAUUCUAGGUCGUCCUGGGUGUCGGUCUGCUUUUUGCAUUUUGGCCGUUCUCGGUUGCCUCUUGGUUGUUUUUCCUCAGCUUCCUUCCACUCAUAAUGAGCAUGUCCAUCUUGAGUGUAUGUUUUUGAAGCCGUUUGAUUGUACAAUUUGACCUUUUCCUAAUAUAUCACUUACUUUCACCAAAAAAAAAAAAAAACUAUUGUUGGGUUGAACUCUAUUUAGGAUGAUGAAAUUGACUUAUAAUACCAAUUCAUAUGUUAAUUUGCACCUACACUUUUCAUUAAACUUGCAUAUGAACAGAACAGUAGUAACGUAGUGCAAACAAUUCUAGACUUAUUAACAAUUGAAGCGAUUUCUCUUCUUGAUCUUCCCAUCUAAUCUUGUCAGCAGACUCAACCUUGAUUUUAGGGUUGAUUAAUUUCCCUCUUUGAGGUGACUUGUGACUCCUAUCAUAUAUUUUCUGAUUUCUUGUAACUUGUAUGGAGCUCGGACUUUAAUUUUAAUUAAUACAAUGCACUUGAGACUUUUCAAGGUAUUUUGACGUAAUUCUUUUUUAAAUCAAAAAGGGCUUUUUUACCUUUUCGAAUUGUGAAGGAAAAGUUUGAGUAGGAAUUAAAAGGGAAACGAACGAAUUUGCCUCAUAAAAGGGGUCUUAAGUUUCAAUUUCACCGGACUCUGAAAGAAAUAUUUUAUGAAAUCACAAUUUAUAAAACAUUCAUCAUAAAACUAAAUAAUGAUGUGGAAUUUAACUUCUCACCUAGUACUCCAUCAAGGGCCUUUUUGACAAUAUUUCAAAAGUAUCAUAACAUGAUGGUAUAAAUUUAACAAUUUACUAUGAGACAUAUACUUUUAAUAGAUUCAAAUGUUACAUAGAUCUAUGCAGAGAUUAAGUCCUUCCCUCCUCUUUUUUCGAAUUGAGUGCCACAAACUUCUUAUUGUUCCUCUAUCCUUGGUUAGGGGUGAGCAUCGGUCCAGGGUUAACCCUAGACCAACCCUGGACCGGCCCAACCAUGCUAAGCCUGGUCCUGUUCCUAAGGAGGCUAGGUCGGUUCUUAGUUAUAGAAUUCCUAGACUAGCACUAUGCGGGUUAGUCCUCGAUCUUAGAAGUUUAAGGUCGGUCCAAUCCGGACCAACCUUGACUAUAUAUAUAUAUAUAUAUAUAUAUAUACAAUACACACACACACACACACACACACAUACAUAUAUUAUAAAUUAUAUUAUUUAUAAUUUUUUUUAUAUAGAGAAAACCUUAAAAUAAACGGCGUCUACAACAUUAAAUGGCUCUUUAGUGAGGAAUUCAAGCAAUUUUACAUUGUUUUUUAAUAACUUAGAUUUUUAAUGUCUUUUACGGCGUCAAUAGUCAUAAUUUACGAAUGAGGAAAAUAUUUUUAAAAUGAGUCCUCACAGUGUCCAAAAUGACAUAAAUAACUCUUUACGACAUCUUUCUCUAGUACUCGUUAUCUUCUAUCUUAUUUGUCCUCUUAGUCUUCAAUUUGCCAAAAUUGAAAGAAACAACUUCUCCACUCACCAUUCGACACUCAUCUCACUCGCUUUGGGUCACUCGUGUCGCUCACCGCUCAAUGCUCGCUUGGCUUGUUACUCCCUGCUCGACACUCGAUGCUUACUCUGCUCGAUGCUCACCCCACUCAACCCUCACCGCUUGCCUUUCUUAGUUGACCUCGCUUGUUAUCGAAUCCAUUGGAUCAGUCCAGUCAUCGGUUGUCCUUUCAAGAAGUACAAAAAAUGAAAUAAAAAAUUAUUGGUUGGUCCCGAGUUGACCUUGGAAUCGGACCGAACCCAUUGGAUUAGUCCUGUCCUCAAUUGCUUUUUUAAAGAGUACAAAAAAUGAAAUAAAAAAUUAUCGGUUGGUCUCGGAUUGACCUUGGAAUUGGACCGAACCCACCGGGUCGGUCCGAUCCUCAGUCCCAAGCUCAAUAAGGUCGGUCCUAGGUCCCAAAAAUUGAUGACUAAUACUGUGCGGAUUGGUUCUAAGGUUAGGGGGUGGACCGGCCCAACCCGAAUCAUGCUCACCCCUACUAAUCAUGUGGGAUUUAUAUACAUGGCUCAUAUGUGGACUUACGUCCACACAUCAAAUGUUCCCACCAUUACGGUGCUUUGUGCAUGCAAUGACACCUAAUUGAAAAUUAAUCUAUAAUUUUUUUGUCGAAAAUCCAUAAUCGAAUGACUGAGAUAUAGUAUACCCUAAUUUUUUUUUGUUUGUUGCGGUACUUGGAAAAUGAGUAGUGUAAUUUCUUUAGCCUUAUCCUUCUUAGUUGUUUUGUUUAGGGGUGAGCAUCGAUCCAAGGUCAACCCUGGACCAACCUUAAACCAACCCAACCCUGCCAGUCCUAGUCCGAUUCCUAAGGAAACUAGGUCAGUCAUUGGACCUAGAAUUUUUGGACCAGCACUGUGCGAGUCAGUUCUUGGUCUUGAGAGUUUCGAGUCGGUCCGACCCAAACCAACCUUGACUAUAUAUAGAUAUAUAUAAUUUUUAUAAUUUUUUUAUAUAGAGAAAACCUUAAAAUCAAUAGCGUCAACAACAUUAAAUAACUUAUUAGUGAGGAAUUCAAGUAAUUUUACAUUAUUCUUUACUAACAUAGAUUUUUAAUGUCUUUUACAGUGUCAAUAGUCAUAAUUUACGAAUGAGGAAAAUGUUUUUGUGAGGAGUCCUCAUGGCAUCCAAAAAGGAAUAAACAGCUCCUUAUGGCAUCCUCCUCUAGUAUUCGUUAUCUUCUAUCUUAUUUGUCACAUUAGUCUUCAAUUUGCCAAAAUCGAAAGAAACAACUUCUCUGCUCACUACUCAACACUCGCCUCACUCGCUUUGGGUCAUUUGUGCCGCUCGCCGCUCAAUACUCGCUUGGCUUGUUGCUCCCCGCUUGACAUUCAAUGCUCAUUAUGUUCGAUACUCACCCCACUUGACCCUCACCGCUUGCCUUUCUUAGCUGACAUCACUCAUCAUCGAACCCUUAGGUCGGUACAGUCCUCGGUUGCCCUUUCAAGAAAUGCAAAAAAUAAAAUAAAAUAUUAUUAGUUGGUCCUGGGUUGACCUGAAAAUCGGACUAAACCCAUUGAGUCAACCCGGUCCUCAAUCGCUUUUUUAAGGAGUAGAAAAAAUGAAAUAAAAAAUUAUCGUUUAGUCUUGGGCUGACCCUGGAACCGGACCGAACCCAUUGGGUCGAUCCCAAGCUCAAUAGAGUCAAUCAUUGGUUCCAAAAAUUGAGAACCGGCGCUAUGCGGAUUGCUCCUAAGGUUAGGGGGUGGACCAGUUCAACCCGAGCCAUUCUCACCCCUAGUUUUGUUCAUGUCCUCAAACUAUCAUACUUGGUAAACUUCUCCUAGAUUUGGUAUUCAAAUCCUUGAUAGGAAUGACAGAUUUGGCCAGACUCGUCCUAUUAUUACAUUGCCGCUACACACAGCCCCUAGUAUCCACCAUUUACGACAAGAUGAUUAUGUACAUACUCAUAAUUACAACCCAAUAGAUAAUGGAGUCUCCAAAUAGUAAAUUAUCCUAAUCACUUACUAUAUUCUCAAAAGGAUUUUCCUGUUAAGCACCUGAAUAAAGAAAGUUUGUUGUUAUCCAUGCACUUUCUAUCUCGAAUCAAAUGCAAUUUGUGCAUAGAAAAUGAAAAUAUUUCAUUAUUAAGUGGAGCGCUCCUUAAGAAAAACUUUCUCAAAAUUCAUUUUCUCCUAUCCGAGGCAAUGUGUAUGGGCACACACUUUUUCCUAAGAGAGAGUAUUAGUGCAAUCUUUGCAGUAGGACCUUCUGGAGCGGAUGAUAGGUGUGAGGUCACAUGAGGUGUCACACAGCCAAGAAGAGACUGGAGAGAGAGAGUCACCAUUGGCGAUCGAUAAUGGCUCUGAGGAAUCGCGACACCUUGGGUAUUCUCCAUGACAAAACCCCAAGAAAUGGUGGAAAUUCUUGGAGCUAAAGGAAAAUGUUAGAGCAAUUAAAUAAUAAAUCACAUUUUUAUCAAACGGUUUAAACUUUUAGAACAGUUAAUAGUGAUCUGUUAGAGUAUGAAGGCAUGAUUUUAAUGCCCAAGAAAAUUCACGCCUUGUCUACAACAAGCAGUUUAGAUCGACCUGUUCAUUACUUAAUUUAUGGCACAAGUAGAGGAGCAUAUUCCUUGAAAUUAUCUAUAUAAACUUCUCCCAACUCCCAAAUAUAAGGGAAAACAUGGGAAAAGAAAAUAAAAAUGAGAUAAGAACAAUAGAAGUACCAAAAGCUAUGUACAACACUCAUUUUAGUAUAAAAAAAAAAACGAAUCACUUAAAUACCACUUUUUUGAAAGAACGAUCAUUAAAGUGCUAACUUCAAUCCGAGUCACUAGAAAUUCGAUAUGGCCAUAUUUUAUUAAUUUCUCAGUUCUAUAUUACUCGCUGGCAUGCCACUUUAGUGCUAGUUGGUGUUAAAAAAUGAUCGCUGCAGUGCAAUCAUUGUUAAAAAGUAAUCACUUCAGUGUUAAAAUAAUGCCACCUCAGAUGAAAUUUUUAAUUAUAAAAUCGCAUAAUUUCUAGCAAGUUAUCGCCGGAGGCAAUUAAGUGGUCCUCCAAUUAGACACUUAAAUGAGCCGACGAAAACUUUUGACACUAAAGUGAGCACCGUAUACAACUUUUGACACAUCUAGUAUCCAAAGAAAAAGAUAUGUUGGAUUGAGGCUAUUUCAGCUGCCAAACAUGGCAUUACUCGUUUGAGAGAGCGAGCAACAACAAAGGAAUGACAACCAACAAAUCAGUCAUCAUUUAUAAAUUCACUCAUUCUCACUCGUAUUUGCACAUUUAAAAACUCCAGAGAGAGAUGUUCGAAGCCCCUACUCCUUCGUGAGCUAUAUGAUUCCUCUUCUUCCUCUGUAGCCUUCUCUCUCGCGCGCGUUCGCUCGCUCUCUGGUGAGAAAGAGUCUUGACCUUUCGGAGUCUCGACAAACUGUCUGCGUUUUCUCUCUUCGAUAUCCCCCUGUUUUUUUUUUUUUUCCUUUGCUGCUUUUGUGAUUUGAUUGCGACCGUUGAGAAUCUGGAGAGAGUAUAUCCGUGCAAGCUCUGCGAUAGGAUCUAUUCUAGCGGACCAAUGUUGGGAGGUCACAUGAGGUGUCACAUGGACAUGAAUCUACCGGAGAGAGAGCCGCCGUUGGUGAUCGAUAACAGCUCGGCAGAUGAGCGACGUCUUGGGUAUUAUCUCCGAGAAAACCCCAAAAAGACGUGGAAAUUCUCAAAGCUGAAGGAAAGUGCCCAGGAAAAGCCGUGCCCGGUCUGUGACGAGCGGUUCAGGUCGAUGAGGGCACUUUUUUGCCACAGGAAGAUUCACUCGGGAAAGGAUGACGAGAGCGGUGACUGGUGCAAAGGCCGCGGCAAAGGGUCCAGGUCAAUGAAAUUUUGCCAGGAUCACACAAGGCCGAUUCACGACAGGGAGAGAUUGAAUUUGAGUCUCUUGAAUGAAGAUCACUUUGUGGGUUCGAGCAAGACCAAGAGUGAUCUCCUGCUCAUCGUUUUAUCUGACGACGAGACAAUGCGCCUGACCAGGAGAAAGAGAACACCGCGAAUCGAGUAUGAUGUCGAUGAAAGAACUGAGGGAAUUAUGAAUGAUGUCGAUGAAAGAACUGAGGGAAUUAUGCUUUCUGCACCAAAUGGGUCUUCGUACAGUAGCAAGGCCGAACUUGACCCGGGAACAGUAGGAGCAAUUUCUUUGAUGAUGCUGUCCCAAGGUGAGACGGAAUUUAAUUCUCCAGGUUUGGGCGUCAAACCUUUCGGGAAGAGCUUGACCCCAGAUAUCUUUGACGUGGAGAAAGAGAAAGUGGGGGUAACUGAAACAUCCGAGUGCAAUGAAAGCCAUUCAAGUGGCUAUUUGAGAAUGGAGCAGAAAGGGGUCGAAAUGGAGGUUCCCACCGGCAUACUUUGCGGGGCUAGGAAAGUUGGGCUCAAGAAGCCUAGAAUAGCCAGGUCAGGAAAAGACACGAUGUAUGAGGCGGCGAUAAUGGAUGGUAACGUGAUGGGAGGUUCUGGGUCGAGAGAAAGGGCAGAACUAUGGAUCGAACUGGGGCUAAAUUCGUACAAGGAUAAGGUCUGCGCUGAGGAAUCCCAAGUUCUUAGUGAACCGGUUGAGAAAAACAAUGCCGAGAGCUACAAACAGGAGGCUCCAGUCGAUGCUUCUCAAGGGAUUGAAGGGAGUCGUGGCUGCACAGAACUCAAGAGCAUCAAUGACGACUCGGGGAAGCUGAACAGGCAGGUAUGCUCGACGAGUUGCGCGAGAUCGGAUAACGGAGCUGCACCCAAUAUUGGCGUUUGACGCCGGCCAAGGACCCUAUCUCUAAGGCAGCCGUUUUUAUCGCUCCUUGUUCGUUCUUUUGAUGAUUUCGAUUGUUCUCUACUUCCCCGUAGUAGUCAGCGUAAUCGGUCCCCAUGGUGAAGUCAACGGAUUCUCUUUCAUUCUACAUCGUAUUCAAUAGUAUCUACCUCUGUCUGUUGUUGUUUUCUUGGAAUAUUUUCAUUGCACUUUUUGUCGGGUCAAUAUGUUUAUGAUUGAUUAGCAACUCUAAGAAAUAGACUCUCUUGGUGUUCUACAACAAUUAACUACCUUGUUUUUCUAUAUGUAUCUACAUUUUAUAAGUGGUGAACUGUUGUUGGGUCAAACUCUAUUAAGGAUAAUGACUAUCGUGUAAGCGGGGAAAUCGACUUCAAAUACUAAUUCAUAUGUUAAGUUGCACCGACACUUUUCAUUGAACUAGCGUAUGAACAAAGCAAAAGUAACGCAUUGCAGAUAGUUCUGGACUUAUUAACAACGGAAGCAAGUUCUCUUCUUGAUCUUCCCAUCUAAUCUCAUCAGCACACUUGACCUUGAUUCUAGGGUUGAUUAGUUUUCCUGUUUAGGGUGACUUGUGACUCUUAUCAUAUAUUAUUUGAUUUCUAAGUUUUAUAGAGCUCAGACUUUAAUUUUUAUUUAACACGAUGCACUUGAGACGUUUCAAAAGAUUUAGGCAUAUAAUGCUUUCUUUGAAAUUGAAAAUGACUUUCUUUAUCUUUUCAAAUUUUGAAGGAAAAGUCACGAGUAGAAAUUAAAAGGGAAAAAAAAAAUCUGCCCCAGAAAAGGGGUCUUGAGUUUCAAUUUCACCGGACUAUAAAAAAAAUAUUUCACGAUAUCAUAAUUUAUAAACCAUUUAUCAUAAAAGUAAAUAAUGACUUGAAACUUAAUUUGUCACCUAGUAUAGUAGUACUCCAUCAAGGGGCCUUUCUUACAUUUGUUUAGAAGUAUUGUAACAUGAUUGAAUAAACUGAACCAUUUACUAUGAAGCAUACACUUCUAAUAAAUUCAAAUGUUAAAUAGUUGUAUGUGAAGAUUAAGUCCUUCCCACCUCUAUUUUCGAAUUGAGUGCCACAAACUUCUUAUGAUUCCUGUAUCCUUGGAGAUACUCCUACUUGAACCUAGGCCGUUAAUCAUGUGGCAUUCAUAUACGGGGCUCAUAUGAUUAACAAUUAUGAUGGAUACGAUCGAUGUAGAUUUACAUCUAUGCAUCAAAUGAUCCUGCCAUUACGAUGCUUUGUGCAUGCUCAAAACCCUAAUUGAAAAUUAAUCUAUAAUUUUUUUCUCAAAAAUCCGUAGUCAAAUGACUGACAUAUAGUCUUUACCAAAAAAAAAUAAUAAUUAACUUUACCAAAAAAAAAAAAAAUUGACUGACAUAUAGAGCAUCCUAAUUUUGUUGUUGUUUUUUUUUUUUUUGGUACUUGGAAAAUGAGUUGUUUAAUUUGUUUAGCCUUAUCCUUCUUAGUUGCUUUGUUCAUGUUCUCAAACUAUCAUACUUGGUAAACUUUUGUCAAAUUUGGUGCUCAAACGCCCAAUAGGAAUGAAAAAUUUGGCUAGACUCGUCCUAUUAUUACAUUGCCGCAACACGCGGUGCCUAGUAUCCACCAUUUACGGCUAGGUGAUUAUAUGCAUACUCAUACUUAUUACCCAAUAGAGAAUGGAGUCUCGAAAUGGCAAAUUCUCCGGAUCACUUACUAUAUUCUCAAAAGGAUUUUCCUAUUAAGCACCUGAAUAAAGAAUAUUUGUUGUUUUCCAUGCGCUUUCUAUCUUGGAUAAGAUGCAAACAAUGCAUAGAAAAUGAAAAUAUUUCCUUAUCAAGUAGGCCACCAAAACCUUCUCAAAAUUCGUUUUCUCCUAUCCGAGCCAAUGUUUUUGGACCAGCACUUUUUCUAAAUCGCAUGAAGUUCAUCAUUGAUCAAUUGAUGUUGCUAAGAGAAGCAUACUUGUUUUUUGAAGGAUAAAUCCUAAUAAAAUUUUGUGAUCCUCGAAAUUAUUUGUAUAAUUUUUUUUCUCAUAAAAUCCCAAAUAUUAAGGUGAACAAAGGAUUAAAAAAAAAACAAAAGAGGAAAAUGAUUAUGCUGGAAUAUGAAGAGCUUUUUUUUUUUCUUCCAAGUUCCAGGCGUAGGACUAUUCCAGCUGCCAAACAUGGCAAUACCGGUAUGAGAGAGCGCGCAACGAACAACUAAUCCAUCGUCAUAUAGAAGCCCACUCAUUCUCAUAUUUGCACAUUCAAAAACCCCUGCUUCUUCGUCGUCUGCUUUCUGAUUCCUCUGCUUCCUCUCUGCCCUUCUCUCUCUCUCUCUCGGUGAGGGAGAAAGUCUCAACCUUUCUGAGUUUCGAAUUCUUUCUUCGACUUCGCUCUGUUUAUCUGCUUUUUUCGUGAUUCAGUGAUUAUCGGAGAGAAUCCACGAAACAGUAUACUGGCAAGGUCUGCGACAAGAUCCUCUCGAGCGGACGAGUGUUGGGAGGGCACAUGAGUUGUCACAUGGCCAAGAAUAUACUGCGGAGAGAGCCAUCAUUGGCGAUCGGUAACGGCUCGGGGAAAGCGAGACGUCUUGGGUAUUGUCUCCGAGAGAACCCCAAGAAAUCGUGGAAAUUCUUGGGGCUGAUGGAAAAUGCCCAAGAAAAUCCGUGCUCGGUCUGCCACAAGCGAUUCAGGUCGACGACAGCUCUGUUUGGCCACAUGGAAAUUCACUUGAGCAAGGACGACGAGCGCUGCGACUGGUGCGCGGACCGUGGCAAAGGGUCCGGGUCCAUGAAAUCUUGCCAGGAUCGUGCGAGGCCGAUCCACGACGGGGAGAGAUUGAAUUUGAGUCUCUCCAAAGGUGAUCUCCUGCUUCGCGUUUUAUUUGACGACGAGGCAAUGCACAUGACCAGGAGGAAGAGGACACCGUGAGUCAGCUGCGAUGAUGAAAGAACUGAGGGAGUUCUGUUUUCCGCACCAAAUGGGUUUUCGUUCAGUAGCGAGGCCGAGCAAGACCCGGCAAACGAAGCAGCAGUUGAGAUGAUGAUAAUGUCCCGAGGUGAGGUGGGCUUCAAUUCUUCGGGUUUGCGCAUCGAACAUUUCUGGAAGAGCUCGGUCCUGGAUUUCAUUGACAUGGAAAAACUGAGGACAACUGAAGCAUCCGAGUACAAUGAACACCAUUCAAGAGGCUAUACGAGAAUGGAGCAGGAAGGGGUCGAAUUGGAGGUUCCUGCCGGGAUGCUUUGUGGGGCUUGGGAAGUUGAGCACAAAAAGCCUGAAGCGGCCAGAUCAGGCGAACAGCCAAUGUAUGAGGUGGCGAUGAUGGAUCGUGACAUGAUGCGAAUUGCAGGUUCUGAUUCGAGAGCUAAAGCAGAACUAUGGAUUGAACCAGGGUUAAAUUCACACCGAGAUAAUGUCUGCGCUGAGGAAUCCCCAGUUUUCAGUGAAUUGGGUGAGAAAAAGAAGUAUAAAAGCAAGGACACUGAGAGCUACAAACAGGAUGCUCCAAUCGAUGCUUCUUGGGGGAUUGAAGGGAAUCGUGGAUGUGCGGAACCCAAGAGCAUCAAGAACUACUCAGAGAAGGUGAAAAGGCACAUAUGCUCAAUAUGCCACAAGGAUUUCUCAUCGGGCCAAGCUUUGGGCGGUCACAAGAGGGCUCAUUACGUGAAGAAUCCCGAAACCAAUGCAGAAAUGCCGACAAGCGCAGCCACACAGCAAAGGCUCGCAGACAUAACUAACAUGGUUGAUCUUUAGCCUCUCAGUACUGUUUGGAAAAAAGAAACAAAGUUUGUUAUUGCUGCUAGUGUUAUGUUCAAGUGAUGAAUCAGUGCGACAGAGGCAAGCACAGAUCAGAUGAUGGCGAGCUCCAUGUGCAGCUUAGUCCAUUUAUUUUGUUUCCAGCAAUGAGCUUUCUAGACUUGGGUUCUUUUACCCUGUUUCUCUCUCUCUCUCUCUCUCUCUCUCUCUCUCUGUUGAAGCUUAGUCCAUCCAUAUUUUAUAUUCUGAUUUCUCUGUUGAUACAGAUGGAUACAUUCCUUUGGCAUUCUCAUGUCAAUGUUCUUGCCAUUGUUAUUGGAUGAAAUAUUCUGAACUGGUUAUCAUUCUAGCUUCUUGUUUCCAUGGCUUAAUUUUCAAAGAUUAUACAGCUGAUCAUCAUCCUUUGUGUGGUUUUUCUUUUUGAUCUUUUACUCAUUUUCCAAAAUGUGGUCGAGAGCAGAACCUCCUGGCCAUCUCAUCUGAUUCUUCUGCUCUAGUCACCUGGUAAAGAGAGGACACAAACUGCCCCUUCCAGUUUUUGAUAGAAAGUGGACAUGUAAUCGAAGAAGUUUUUGAAGUUUUUUUGUAUACUUUCUUUAUCAUACGACUUGCCGACAUAAUAUUAGACUCCUAAUCAAGUAAUACAGUUCUCAAUCACAAUAUACUCCAGAAUAUUACAAUAAUAGAGAGCACUGAUUAAACUUUGAUAUCUUGUCAAGCUAUAUAGCUAUUUGCAUAACAGUUGAUGAUGCAGAAAUCUGGCUUAUGCCUCUUCUCUCCUCUUUUUGUUCCCCCUUUGCCCCCUCCAUCGUCAAACUUUUUUCAUGUGAUCAUCAAUUGCUAGAUAAAAUACUUUAUCAACUUACAUUCCUAUACUGGGUUUGUAACCUGUGCUAUGCACCUGAAUAAUUCGCAAAAUGGUAAGGAAAAGAUGACAGAAAAUAAUUUAUGAUGUGAUUUGGGAAAUAGAUUAAAAUGAUUACAUGGAAAAAAUUUACAACUUCGAAACUCAAGAUAUGUACAUGGAUAAUACUAUUAACGAUGAAUUGGCUUAAAGUAUUUUCAAUAAAAAUUAGUCUAAUAAUAAAGAAAAGAGAUCUAUAUCACGUAGAUAAUGCUUAACUUCCUAAUAGAAUAGUCAUUUUUAAACUCAUACAAAUGUUUUAGCUGGAAUUCUCAUAAUAUUUUUUUCAAUUUGGGAUUACUUUGCUAGGAUUUUUUAGGGACUCCAAUACACAUUAUGCUCUUCAUGUUGGAAUGGAUAAUGUCCAAUACUUUUUUAUUAAGCUCCUUUAUUUUCUCUUUUGAGUUGAGCUUUUAGUAUUUUCCAAUAGGAAACAAAUUGUGUUAAUUUUCUUAAUUAACCAACAAAAAUGUAUUUUUGACUUGUUCCAUUUAUUGGGCAUAUCCUUGAUCUUUUUUGCUUUGGCAUAUGAACAGAAAUUUGAUACUAACACACAUAUAUCGCUUUGAUGAAAUGGUUCGUGUCAUAGAUCUUUAUCAAAUAUCCAAUAUUGCUCAAGAGAUGGGAAUCCAUCUCUACAUUUUUCAUGUUUGGGAAAAUAAGAAUUCAAAUGUGGAUUUGGUGUCCCCAUGAAAGCAAAUUCCUCAGAAAGUGCGGAAUUCGAUUACCUUACAAUAAAUGGUAUCGAGAUUUUCAUAGACACCUUAAAGACUUUUCAAGUUUGACUGACUUUGUCCCACGGCCAAAUUUUGUUGAAAGCUCAACCAUGCUACUAUGAUUAAAUAAUAAUUGUCGAGAACUUUUCCAAGGUACCAAAUUUUCCCUAAUUUGGCAUUGUCUUAAGACAGACUUAAGAAAUUGACCAGAUCUCCUAGAGUAAGAAUCAACUCCAAACAAACUAGCAAUGGGUCAAUAUAUAAGUGAUUAUUAACUUCCUUAACUUCGUUUGGAGUUCUUUGACAACUAAUUUAGGGAUAAGUACACUAAUGGUGCCAUAAGCUGUAUACGGCGCUCACUUUGGUACCAAAAAUUUCCGUCGAAUCAUUUAAGUGCCAAAAAAUUUGAAAAACGCUCACUUUAGUGCCAACGCCGAUCUGAUCGGCCAGAAAUCUGACGUGGCCUUUUUUUAUUAAUUUCUUAUGCUGAUGUGGCUCGUCGGAGUUUCCAUUAGAUCACUUAGACCUUCAAACAACGUCGUUUUAGCAUCCUAACACCAAAACGACGCCAUUUUGUGUCUUUCCCCCAAAUUCAAAACCCUAAAUACCCAAACGACGCCGUUUUUGUGUCGUCUUCUUCCCUGAGCAGAUUCUUCUUCUUCCCCGAACAGAUCCAGCAACACCAACAGCACCAAACCAACAACACCAGCAGCAGAGAACCAGCAACACCAGUAAUUUUCCAGAAAAGAAACCACGCAUUCGCAUCCGCCCACCCCCAGUAGUUUUCCCCCAUUUUUAAUCACCUUAUCAACCUUUCAAAUCCCCGAAUCUCAGCCUCACCAUCCCCUUUUCCCAAGAAAUAUCAUUGGGUGCAGAGGAAACACGAGCUCGAAGAAUCCCCAGAAGCACGAACAAUCCGGCCAGUGGUAGCCACGAAGAUCUGGAAUGCCACGGAGGUUGUCGGCGAAGCCAGCUGCUAUGAAGGCGGCGGCCGUGGCCCCGCCAUCCCCUCCUUCGUCCUCAUCAUCGACACCUCCCUCUUUCGCGGGAUUUUCUGUUCGUUUUUUUUUUCUUUCUUUCUUUCUUUUGUCUUUCUGUGGCAAGCAACUGCAAUGGAGGUUGAGGGAUAGCGGCUGAGCGACGGUGGCCGAGGGAUGGUGGCUAAGUGAUGGUGGCUGAGGGACAGCGGCCGAGCGACGGUGGACGAGCAAUGGCGGACAAAAAAACCCUAAUUUCAAUCUCCAAAUAAAAUUAACAAAACGGCGUCGUUUUUGUGAGGCUAUCCACAUAGGAUGGCAAAACAACGUCGUUUUCUUAAGGAAGACGGAAAACGACGUCGUUUAAAAGGCUUCUCGAUUUUUUUUUUAAAUAUAAAAGCCACGUAAUCAUUUUGGCCGGAAUCUGUCGUCAGUGGCACCAAAGUGAUCGUUUUUCCUCCGAUUUGGCACUUAAUGAUCCGGCAGAAACUUUUGGCACCAAAGUGAGCGCCGUACAUAACUUAUGGCACCUUUAGUGUACUUAUCCCACUAAUUUAAAUUUGUUGCUUAAGUGAUAAAAAAAAACCCAAAACUCAUUUAAAAUCUUGAAAUCAAAAACUUGAUUUGAGCAUAUAUUUGAAAACUAGAAAUCGCAAUUUUUCCAAUAGCAUGAGAAUGACGCGAAUCUGAUAUUGGACCAAAAGGUUAUGACUUUAGGAAAAAGAUACCAUGAAAAAUUAAAACAAAUAAUCAGGUUAAGCCACUUUACCCACCCUGAUUCAACCGGGCCGGAGGUUAUCCGUUUGAGGGUGACUUGGGCCAAGGUCAUCCGGCCCAGGGUUACUCUGGUCCAAGUUUACUAAGCCCAGGUCGUCUCAUCCCUUUUGCGCAUUUUUAACUAUGUCCACAAUUUUAACGCGAAGAGUUCUAUUUUCUGGCUUUCAGUUUGAUACUCACUUUGAUUCAAUUUUCUGUUGGAGAUUUCGACAAUAUCCGGAAUGAAGGUGCGGAAACUCUUUUAAUAAAUGUGAUAAUGGUUAUCAUGCUGAGGUAAUAACUUGAAAAUAAAAUACAUUGUGGUUACGCCAAGAUAAAAAUGGAGUUUACAUAUCAAAGUAGUCAUUAUUUUACUAAAAAAAAAUCUUGAAAAUUCCAUAAUUUCUCUGUGCGGUUAUUCUGCUUGCUUUAAUUCUUACAUUAGAAUAAUCCUGCGUAUGUCACGAUUUUCUCAAAAUUUGUCGGAAAAGUUAAGGUUACUUUCAUGAAACUAUUUUCAGCUUUCAAAACCAGUCUUAUGGGAAUGAAAGGACAAUACACCCUAUGUCUAAGUAGGCCAAAUAAUAACAUGGUUCCAUCAUUUUCAAAACUAAUCAUGCAUCGUCAAAUAAACAUCAUUUGAUUAAUUUUGAAAGUGUACAUUCACAACUUAGCACACAUGUAUAAUUUUUGCACGUCAUGCUAGGGAUGCUAGAGGUGUGCAGAACAGAUCACCCAAACUAAAAACCUUAUGGAACGGAUCAAGUAUGAUGUCAAUGAAAGAACUGAGGGAAUUCUGUUUUCCACACCAAAUGAGUCUUCGUACAGUAGCAAGGCCGAACAAGACCUGGAAACCGUAGAAGCAGUUUCUUUGAUGAUGCUGUCCCAAGGUGAGACAGACUUUAAUUCUCCAGGUUUGGGCGUCAAACCUUUCGGGAAGAGCUUGACCCCGGAUUUCUUUGACGUGGAGAAAGAGAAAGCGGGGGUAACUGUGCAAUGAAAGCCAUUCAAAUGGCUAUUUGAGAAUGGAGCAGAAAAGGGUCGAAAUGGAGGUUCCCGCCAGCAUACUUUGCGGAGCUAGGGAAGUUGGGCUCAAGAAGCCUAAAGUAGCCAGAUCAGGCAAAGACCCGAUGUAUGAGGCGGCGAUGAUGGAUGGUGACAUAAUGGGAGAUUUUAGGUCAAGAGAAAGGGCAGAAAUAUGGAUGGAACCGGGGCUAAACUCGUACAAAGAUAAGGUCUGCGCUGAGGAAUCCCAAAUUCUUGGUAAACCGGUUGAGAAAAACAACGCUGAGAGCUACAAACAGGAGGCUCCAGUCGAUGCUUCUCAGGGGAUUGAAGGGAGUUGUGGCUGCACAGAACUCAAAAGCAUCAAGGACGACCGGGAGAAGUUGAACAGGCAGACAUUCUCGACGAGUUGCGUGAGAUCGGAUAACAGAGCUGCACCCAAUAUUGACGUUUGACGCCAGCCAAGGACUAUUUCUAAAGCAGCCGUUUUUAUCCCUCCUUGUCCGUUCUUUUGAUGGUUUCGAUUGUUCUCCUACUUCACUGGAGUAGUCAGGGUAAUCAAUCCCCAUGGUGAAGUCAGCGGAGUCUCUCUCUCAUUCUACAUCGUAUUUAAUAGUAUUGCCCCUUUGUCUGUUGCUGUUUUUCUGGAAUAUUUUCAUUAAAUUUUUUGUCGGGUCAAUAUGUUUAUGAUUGAUUAGCAACUCUUAGAAAUAGACUUUCUUAGUGUUCUAGAACAAUUAACUACCUUGUUUUUCUAUACGUAUCUACAUUUUAUAAGUGGUGAACCGUUGUUGGGUCAAAAUGGCUAUCGUGUAAGCGGGAAAAUCGACUUCAAAUACUAAUUCAUAUGUUAAUUGCACCGACACUUUUCAUUGAACACAUUGCAGAUAGUUCCGGACUUAAUAACAACAAAAGCGAGUUCUCUUCUUGAUCUUCCCAUCUAAUCUCAUCAGCACACUUGACCUUGAUUCUAGGGUUGAUUAGUUUUCCAAUUUAGGGUGACUUGUGAUUCCUAUCAUAUAUUAGUUGAUUUCUAAGUUUUAUGGAGCUCGGACUUUAAUUUUCAUUUAACACAAAGCACUUGACACAUUUCAAAAUAUUUAGAUAUGUAAUGGUUUAAAAAAAAUGAAAAUGACGUUUUUAUCUUUUCAAAUUUUGAAGGAAAAGUCAUGAGUAGAAAUUAAAAGGAAAAAAAAUUUGCCCCAAAAAUUUAUUCUUGACUUUCAAUUUCACCGGACUAUCAUAAAAAUAUUCCACAAGGUCAUAGUUUAUAAAUCAUUUAUCAUAAAAGUAAAUGAUGACGCGGCAUUUAAUUUGUCGCCUAGUACUCCAUCAAGGGGCUUUCUAACGUUAUUUUAAAAGUAUUGUAUCAUGUUUGAAUAAACUGAACCAUUUACUAUGAAGCAUACACUUUUAAUAGAUUCAAAUGUUAAAUAGAUCUAUGUAAAGAUUAAGUCCUUCCCACCUCGUUUUUCGAAUUGAGUGCCACAAACUUCUUAUGGUUCCUAUAUCCUUAGAGAUACUCUUACUUGAACCCACGCCGUUAAUCAUGUGGUAUUCAUAUACAGGGCUCAUAUAAUUAGCAGUUAUGAUAGAUACAAUCGAUGUAGAUUUACAUCCAUGUGUCACGGGCUAAUCGAUUGGGAUCGUGACCGUGCGGUCACUCAGGCACUUUUGGAUCAACUUGGAUCGUUGAGAUGCCUAGGGCAAGCCUUGAUCACACACUUUCUAGAGAGGGAAGCUCUGGAAAGAAAAUAGCCUUUGUAUUACUGAAUGAUUGGAUGGAUACAAAUGAGUAGGAGGGUAUCCCUUUUUAUAUUAAAGUUCCUCGAAUUACAUCCAUUCAUCGAGUUUUCAUCCGGUGGACGAGAUCCCACCGCCCCAUCUACCAACUACCAACACUAAUAGCAGGAGACUUCUAGAAUUUGUCGUAAUGACCGUAUCACCCGCCCCGGGAACGUUCCAGAAGAGCACUUGUUGGAAAUCCUAGCAAUUGCGAGAGGUCCUCCUCGGAAAGGCAUGGCCCUUUAGUUGCAGAAACCUCUUGGCCAUGACACAUGCAUCAAAUAGUCAUGCCAUUACAAUGCUUUGUGCAUGCUCGAACACCUAAUUAAAAAUUAAUCUAUAAUUUUUUUUCCAAAAGAUCCGUAAUCCAAUGACUGACAUAUAGUGCAUCUAAUUUUGUUGUUUUUUGAUUUUUUGGUACUUGGAAAAUGAGCUGUCUAAUUUAUUUAGCCUUAUCCUUCUUAGUUGCUUUGUUCAUGUUCUCAAACUAUCAUACUUGGUAAACUUUUGUUAGAUUUGGUGCUCAAACGCCCAAUAGGAAUGAAAAAUUUGGCUAGACUCAUCCUAUUAUUACAUUGCCGCAACACAUGGUGCCUAGUAUCCACCAUUUACGGCUAGGUGAUUAUAUACAUACUCAUACUUAUUACCCAAUAGAGAAUGGAGUCUCGAAAUAGCAAAUUCUCCUGAUCACUUACUAUAUUCUCAAAAGGAUUUUCCUAUUAAGCACCUGAAUAAAAUAUAUUUGUUGUUUUCCAUGCACUUUCUAUCUCAGAUAAGAUGCAAAUAAUGCAUAGAAAAUGAAAAUAUUGCCUUAUUAAGUAGGCCACCCAAAACCUUCUCAAAAUUCGUUUUCUCCUAUCUGAGCCAAUGUGUUUGGACAUGCACUUUUUCUAAAUCGCAUGAAGUUCAUCAUUGCUUAAUUGAUUUUGCUAAGAGAAGCAUACUUGUUAGUACUAUGAUUUUUUUGAAGGAUAAAUCCUAAUAAAAUUCCGUGAUCCUUGAAAUUAUCUGCAUAAUUUUUUUCGCAUAGAAUCCCAAAUAUUAAGGUGAACAAAGGAUUAAAAAAAAAAAAGAGGAAAAUGAUUAUGCUGGAAUAUGAAGAGUUUUUUUUUUUUUUCUUCCAAGAUUGGGACAUAUCUCCAUAGAAAGAAUUAAGCAAUUAGUAAAUGAUGGAGUACUCGGUAUUUUAGAUUUUACUGAUUGUAAUACUUGUGUGGACUGCAUAAAGGGAAAGCAGACUAAUAAAUCAAAGAAAUGUGCCAAGAGGAGUACAGAAAUAUUAGAAAUCAUACAUACGGAUAUAUGUAGUCCGGAUAUGGACUCUUGUGGUCAGAAAUACUUCAUCUCCUUCAUAGAUGAUUACUCACGUUAUAUGUAUCUCUACUUGAUUCAUAAUAAAUAUGAAGCAUUAAAUGCCUUUAAGGUAUUUAAGGCGGAAGUAGAGAAACAAUGUGAUAAGCAAAUUAAGAUUGUGAGAUCAGAUAGUGGUGGAGAAUUUCUAUGGUAAAUACACUGAAGAUGGACAAGCACGUGGUCCAUUUGCAAGAUUUCUUCAAAGAGCAUGGAAUAGUUGCCCAAUACACUAUGCUUGGUUCUCCGGACCAAAACGACGUAACGGAAAGAAGAAACCGGACCUUAUUGGACAUGGUGCGUAGUAUGCUUAGUAGCUCCAAACUUCUUAAAUCCUUGUGGACUGAAGCACUUAAGAUGGCAGUGUACAUAUUAAACCGAGUUCCGACAAAGGCUGUUCCAAAGACACCUUUUGAAUUAUUUAAGGGUUGGAAACCGAGUUACAUCAUGUGCGCGUUUGGGGAUGCCCGUCUGAAGUGAGAGUUUAUAAUCCACAAAAAAAGAAGUUGGACCCGAGGACCAUAAGUGGGUAUUUCAUUAAAUAUGCCGAAAGGUCUAAAUGAUACAGGUUUUAUUGUCCAUCUCAUACCACUAGGAUUGUGGAAUCAAGAAAUGCUAAAUUUCUUGAAAAUGACUUGAUCAGUGGGAGCGAUCGACCGAGGGACCUUGUUCCUAAGGAAGAUCAUUCAGACACUCAACCUUCCACCUCAAGUUUAAGGUUGGUUGUUGCUUAUAAUGCCCAUUCAGUUCAGCCGGCUAUCGAACAACCAAUCGUUGAAGUUCCACAACCUGCUGAUAUUGAUCUAGUAGAUCCAAUUGUUCAGCAAUUACCAGAAACUGUUGAACAACCAGUUGAGCAACAUGCUCCUCAAGAGAAUGUUGAUGCAACCUUGAGAAGAUCUGCUAGAAUAAAGAAAUCGGCUAUUCCUAGUGAUUAUAUUGUGUAUUUACAAGAGUCUGACUACAAUAUUGGAGCUGAGAAUGAUCCCGAAACGUUUUCACAAGCCAUGGAUAGUGAUAAAUCUAAUUUGUGGUACAAUGCCAUGAAGGAAGAGAUGAGUUCUAUGGCAUCUAACGAAGUCUGGGAUUUGGUUCAGUUACCUUAUGGUGCGAAGGCCAUUGGUUGUAAAUGGGUCUUCAAAACUAAGAAGGACUCAUUGGGUAACAUUGAAAGAUAUAAAGCUAGACUCGUUGCCAAAGGAUUCACUCAAAAGGAAUGAAUCGAUUACACUGAGACUUUUUCUCAUGUAUCUAAGAAAGAUUCUCUUCAUAUUGUUUUGGCAUUGGUUGCCCAUUUUGAUAUGGAAUUACAUCAUACGGAUGUGAAAACGGCGUUCCUCAAUGGAGAACUGGAGGAGGAGGUUUACAUGAAACAACCUGAAGGAUUCCCCUCUAGUAAAGGUGAGCAUUUGGUGUGCAAGCUUAAGAAAUCUAUAUAUGGCUUGAAACAAGCAUCCCGCCAAUGGUACUUAAGGUUCCAUGAAGUCAUCUCUUCAUUCGGUUUUGUAGAGAAUGUCAUGGAUCAAUGUAUAUACCAGAAGGUCAGUGGGAGUAAAAUUUGUUUCCUUGUGCUGUAUGUGGAUGAUAUAUUACUUGCAACAAAUGAUAAUGGGUUGCUACAUGAGGUGAAACAAUUUCUCUCUAAGAGUUUUGACAUGAAGGAUAUGGGUGAGGCAUCUUAUGUCAUUGGCAUUAAGAUCCAUAGAGAUAGACCUUGAGGCAUUUUAGGACUAUCUCAAGAAACCUAUAUCAAUAAGGUCCUAGAGAGAUUUCGGACGAAAGAUUGUUCACCAAGUAUAGCACCCAUUGUGAAGGGCGACAGGUUCAAUUUGAACCAAUGCCCGAAGAACGAUAUAGAAAUUGAACAAAAAUACAACAUUCCAUAUGCUUCUACUGUUGGAAGCUUGAUGUAUGCUCAGGUUUGCACUCGACCUGACAUCGCUUUUGCUGUGGGAAUGUUGGGAAGAUAUCAGAGUAAUCCAGGUUUAGACCACUGGAGAGCUGCAAAGAAAGUGAUGAGAUACCUUCAAGGUACCAAAGACUAUAUGUUUAUGUAUAAACGAACUGACAACCUGGAAGUGGUCGGUUAUUCGGAUGCGGACUUCGCGGGUUGUGUUGAUUCACGAAAAUCAACAUCUGGAUACAUUUUUAUGUUAACUGGCGGAGCCGUGUCAUGAAAAAGUGCCAAGCAGACUUUGACUGCUACUUCCACUAUGGAGGCUGAGUUCGUUUCUUGUUUUGAGGCUACCUCGCAUGGUAUAUGGUUGAAGAGUUUCAUUGCUGGGCUUAGAAUUGUUGAUUCAAUUUCUAGGCCAUUAAGAAUAUAUUGUGACAAUUCAGCUACGGUUUUUAUGGCUAAAAAUGCCAAAAGUGGCAGUCGAAGUAAGCAUAUCGACAUUAAGUAUUUAGCCAUAAGGAAACGUGUUAAGGAAAAUAGAGUGGUCAUUGAACACGUUAGCAUUGAAUUGAUGAUAGCUGAUCCUUUAACUAAAGGCAUGCCACCAAUGAAGUAUAAGGAUCAUGUAACCAGUAUGGGAAUAGGUCCCAUCAUGUGAUUUGUCGUUAUAUGAACGAUUUUGUUGUAUGAAACUCUUAUUCAAUUGUAAUGUUGAUUAUCAAUUUUGGUGUACACAUUUUGUUGUUUAUGAGAAUAACAUUUAUCCUUGGUUCUGGAAUGAACAUGGGGUUUAUUCAUUAAGAUAUGUUGUCACAUAUAGACUGACAUUAAAGAAAUAAGAUGCAUUGUGAUACAUGGAAGAAAUUACUCACUCUUAAAGGACAUGUCACNNNNNNNNNNNNNNNNNNNNNNNNNNNNNNNNNNNNNNNNNNNNNNNNNNNNNNNNNNNNNNNNNNNNNNNNNNNNNNNNNNNNNNNNNNNNNNNNNNNNNNNNNNNNNNNNNNNNNNNNNNNNNNNNNNNNNNNNNNNNNNNNNNNNNNNNNNNNNNNNNNNNNNNNNNNNNNNNNNNNNNNNNNNNNNNNNNNNNNNNNNNNNNNNNNNNNNNNNNNNNNNNNNNNNNNNNNNNNNNNNNNNNNNNNNNNNNNNNNNNNNNNNNNNNNNNNNNNNNNNNNNNNNNNNNNNNNNNNNNNNNNNNNNNNNNNNNNNNNNNNNNNNNNNNNNNNNNNNNNNNNNNNNNNNNNNNNNNNNNNNNNNNNNNNNNNNNNNNNNNNNNNNNNNNNNNNNNNNNNNNNNNNNNNNNNNNNNNNNNNNNNNUGAUUCUGGCUUCCGCAUCAUGAAUUUUAUUUCUUACAAGAGUUAUCAAAUGGCCCAAGAAUAUACUGCGGAGAGAGCCAUCAUUGGCGAUCGGUAACGGCUCGGGGAAAGCGAGACAUCUUAGGUAUUGACUCCGAGAAAACCCCAAGAAAUCGUGGAAAUUCUUGGGGCUGAUGGAAAAUGCCCAAGAAAAUCCGUGCUCAGUCUGCCACAAGCGAUUCAGGUCCACGACAGCUCUGUUUGGCCACAUGAAAAUUCACUUGAACAAGGACGACGAGCGCGGCGACUGGUGCGCGGACCGUGGCAAAGGGUCCAGGUCGAUGAAAUCAUGCCGGGAUCGUGCGAGGCCGAUCCACGACAGGGAGAGAUUGAAUUUGAGUCUCUCCAGUGAAGAUCGCUAUGUGGGCUUGAGUAAGACCAAAUCGCUAUGUGGGCUUGAGUAAGACCAAAGGUGAUCUCCUGCUUAGCGUUUUAUUUGACGACGAGGCAAUGCACAUGACCAGGAGGAAGAGGACACCGCGAGUCAGCUGCGAUGUCGAUGAAAGAACUGAGGGAGUUCUGUCCUCCGUACCAAAUGGGUUUUCGUUCAGUAGCGAGGCCGAGCGAGACCCGGCAAACGAAGCAGCAGUUGAGUUGAUGAUGAUGUCCCGAGGUGAGGCGGGCUUCAAUUCUUCGGGUUUGGGCAUCGAACAUUUCCGGAAGAGCUCGGCCCUGGAUUUCAUUGACAUGGAAAAACUGAGGUAACUGAAGCAGCCGAGUACAAUGAACGCCAUUCAAGAGGCUAUACGAGAAUGGAGCAGGAAGGGGUCGAAUUGGAGGUUCCUGCCGGGAUGCUUUGUGGGGCUUUGGGAAGUUGAGCGCAAAAAGCCUGAAGCGGCCAGAUCAGACGAACAGCAAAUGUAUGAGGUGGCGAUGAUGGAUGGUGACAUGAUCCGCAUUGCGGGUUCCGAUUCGAGAGCUAAAGCAGAACUAAGGAUUGACAAGCUGCGUGAGAUCGGAUUCAUUGUCUACUCCAUCGGCAAGCCGCUGGAUCCCUGGCUCAAGGACAUGCCCGCUGUGACAUAAUGGAGACCCACCUGAUAUUGGCGUUUGUCGCGAGCCAAGAUCCAAUAUUUUUAAAGCAGCCUUUUUUAUCCCUCCAUGUUCGCCUUUUGAUGUUUUCGAAUGUUCUCCUGCUUCCUCAGAGUAGUCAGGGUAAUUGGUCCACACGGUGAAGUCAGCGGAUUCACUCUUUUAAUCUGCAUUGUAUUCAAUUAUAUUAGCCAUCUGUCUGUUACUGCUUUUCGGGUAUAUUUUGAUUACAUUUUUGUCGGUUCAAUAUGUUUAUGAUUGGUUAGCAACUCUGACAAAUAAACUCUCUUGGUGUUCUAGAACCCUUAACUACCUUGUUUUCUAUUUGUCUUCAUUUAACUGGCCAACUGCUGUUGGGUCGACUCUAUUCAGGAUGAUGACUGUUGAGUAAGCGUGGAAUCGUCUUCUUACGCCAGUUCGUAUGUUAAAUUGCGCUAACAUUUUUCAAUGAACUUGCAUGUAAACCAAACAUCAGUAAUGCAGUGCCGACAAUCACGGACUUAUUAAGAAUUCAC
rnacentral:lncRNA from 1 species